GCUACGGGUGGCUGCAGUGGGGGAUAUUGGACAAUGGGGGAAACCCUGAUCAAGCGACGCCGCGUGAGUGAAGAAGUAUUUCGGUAUGUAAAGCUCUAUCAGCAGGGAAGAAAGAAAUGACGGUACCUGAGUAAGAAGCCCCGGCUAACUACGUGCCAGCAGCCGCGGUAAUACGUAGGGGGCAAGCGUUAUCCGGAUUUAUUGGGUUUAAAGGGUGCGCAGGCGGAAUGUCAAGUCAGCGGUAAAAUUUCGGGGCUCAACCCCGUCGUGCCGUUGAAACUGGCGUUCUUGAGUGAGCGAGAAGUAUGCGGAAUGCGUGGUGUAGCGGUGAAAUGCAUAGAUAUCACGCAGAACUCCGAUUGCGAAGGCAGCAUACCGGCGCUCAACUGACGCUCAUGCACGAAAGCGUGGGUAUCGAACAGGAUUAGAUACCCUUGUAGUC
rnacentral:rRNA from 1 species